rnacentral:rRNA from 1 species
CUGGCUCAGAUUGAACGCUGGCGGCAGGCCUAACACAUGCAAGUCGAGCGGUAGAGAGAAGCUUGCUUCUCUUGAGAGCGGCGGACGGGUGAGUAAUGCCUAGGAAUCUGCCUGGUAGUGGGGGAUAACGUUCGGAAACGGACGCUAAUACCGCAUACGUCCUACGGGAGAAAGCAGGGGACCUUCGGGCCUUGCGCUAUCAGAUGAGCCUAGGUCGGAUUAGCUAGUUGGUGAGGUAAUGGCUCACCAAGGCUACGAUCCGUAACUGGUCUGAGAGGAUGAUCAGUCACACUGGAACUGAGACACGGUCCAGACUCCUACGGGAGGCAGCAGUGGGGAAUAUUGGACAAUGGGCGAAAGCCUGAUCCAGCCAUGCCGCGUGUGUGAAGAAGGUCUUCGGAUUGUAAAGCACUUUAAGUUGGGAGGAAGGGCAGUUACCUAAUACGUGAUUGUUUUGACGUACCGACAG